CCCCUCCAGAUUCCUUACCCAUCGGAUCUAAACAUUGGGCUGAGUGGCUAUAAAAAGUGGAAGAGUAAAAUGAACAGGGUCUUGGAUUCUUUCUGACAUACAAGUUCGUUUCAAACCAAAAAAGG
rnacentral:snoRNA from 1 species